rnacentral:misc_RNA from 1 species
GACAAACAGAAAAUUUUAAUCCAUAUUAAUAGAAUAAAUCAAUGAAGCUUUUGUUUUCCCAAUUAUAUCAGAUACAUAAAAUGCCUUUAUUCUCAUAAACCAAACAUGCCAUAAAGGUUUCCCUGGCUGACUACAGUGACUCCAUUAAAUAUACUGAGUAUACCAUUUAACUUGCAAUAGAUUUUAGUUUCCCAAAACCAUCACUUUCCCAUAAUGCUAAAUAAUUUUAUCUUCCCAUUCCAUUAAAUAAAUCCCUUGUAUUACUUUCAGUAUCAUCCCUAACAUAUCCCACUCAUUCACUUUCCUCUACAGUCAUUUCCUGCCUGAAAUUCUUCCUUUUUCUUUGCUCAUUGAGCUACCAGUCUAAAAGGUAGCCUGCUUCACCCAUUGAUGCAUGGGCUUAAAUCCAGGAUUGGAAACACAGUGGCUCCAUCCUGAAAUUCUGAACAUAAGACUCCAUGAGAACAAUUUCACUGGAAUUCGUCCACAUACAAAAUUACCAAUCAGAACCUAUCUUGAAUCCUGGCCAUUAGCUGCCUCAAACAAUUCCCUAAAAGAUAUAAUGACAGGAAUAAAAUCACAAAACCACACUGUUCACAAACUGCAAAAUAACAGAUCUCCAGGAUCUUUGUUCAGACCAUUACAGAUGGGGGACAGUUGCUAAAAACAUCUAGACCGGCAAAUUGACAGGUUAAAAUUGGACUCUUCAUGAGUCUUAAUGCUGAUAUUCUACUUUCAUGUCAAUUAGACAAGUUUCUUACUCUGGUGGCAUG